GAUGAACGCUGGCGGCGUGCCUAAUACAUGCAAGUCGAGCGAAUGGAUUAAGAGCUUGCUCUUAUGAAGUUAGCGGCGGACGGGUGAGUAACACGUGGGUAACCUGCCCAUAAGACUGGGAUAACUCCGGGAAACCGGGGCUAAUACCGGAUAACAUUUUGAACCGCAUGGUUCGAAAUUGAAAGGCGGCUUCGGCUGUCACUUAUGGAUGGACCCGCGUCGCAUUAGCUAGUUGGUGAGGUAACGGCUCACCAAGGCAACGACGCGUAGCCGACCUGGGAGGGUGAGCGGCCACACUGGGACUGAGAAACGGCCCAGACUCCUAGGGGAGGCAGCAGUAGGGAAUCUUCCGCAAUGGACGAAAGUCUGACGGAGCAACGCCGCGUGAGUGAUGAAGGCUUUCGGGUCGUAAAACUCUGUUGUUAGGGAAGAACAAGUGCUAGUUGAAUAAGCUGGCACCUUGACGGUACCUAACCAGAAAGCCACGGCUAACUACGUGCCAGCAGCCGCGGUAA
rnacentral:rRNA from 1 species